UUAGAUACCCUAUUAUUGAAAAUGCAAAUUAUUAUGCCUGAGUAGUAGUAGUUAUGUUCUUGAAAUUCAAAAAAUCUGGCGGUAUUUUAGUCUAUUCAGAGGAACCUGUCCUGUAAUUGAUGAUCCACGAUUAAUUUUACUUAUUUUUAGUUUGUAUAUCGUCGUAGUUUGAAUGUUUUUAAAGAAAUUGUAAUAUUCAAGAUUUAUUUUAAAUUUAAAGGAAAUCAGAUCAAGAUACAGCGUAUAAAUAAGAAGAGAUGGGUUACAAUAAAUUUAUUUAAAUGGUUAAAAUAUUUAAAAUUAUUUUAUAAAGUGGAUUUGAUAGUAAUAUAGUUUAUUUAAAUUAUAUGAUUUUAGCUCUAAAAUAUGUACAUAUCGCCCGUCGCUCCUUCUCUAAAGAUGGAUAAGUC
rnacentral:rRNA from 1 species